CAUGUAGGCGGAUUGAUAAGUUUGAAGUGAAAUCCUAUAGCUUAACUAUAGAACUGCUUUGAAAACUGUUAAUCUAGAAUGUGGGAGAGGUAGAUGGAAUUUCUGGUGUAGGGUAAAAUCCGUAGAGAUCAGAAGGAAUACCGAUUGCGAAGGCGAUCUACUGGAACAUUAUUGACGCUGAGAUGCGAAAGCGUGGGGAGCAAACA
rnacentral:rRNA from 1 species